AGAGUUUGAUCCUGGCUCAGAAUGAACGCUGGCGGCGUGCUUAACACAUGCAAGUCGAACGAGAAAGGGAUUGCUUGCAGUCCCGAGUAGAGUGGCGCACGGGUGAGUAACACGUAGAUAAUCUGCCUUCAAGCCUGGGAUAACUAUUCGAAAGGGUAGCUAAUACCGGAUAAAGUCGAUCUACACAAGUAGAUUGAUGAAAGAUUGCCUCUUCUUGAAAGCAAUUGUUUGGAGAUGAGUUUGCGUACCAUUAGCUUGUUGGUGGGGUAAAGGCCUACCAAGGCAACGAUGGUUAGCUGGUCUGAGAGGAUGAUCAGCCACACUGGAACUGGAACACGGUCCAGACUCCUACGGGAGGCAGCAGUGAGGAAUUUUGCGCAAUGGGGGCAACCCUGACGCAGCAACGCCGCGUGAGUGAAGAAGGCCUUUGGGUCGUAAAGCUCUGUCAACAGGGAAGAAGUUACAAUUGUUUAAUAGAUGGUUGUAUUGACGGUACCUGUGGAGGAAGCGCCGGCUAACUCCGUGCCAGCAGCCGCGGUAAUACGGGGGGCGCAAGCGUUAUUCGGAAUUAUUGGGCGUAAAGGGCGCGCAGGCGGUCUUGUCCGUCAGGUGUGAAAGCUCGGGGCUCAACCCCGGAAGUGCACUUGAAACAGCAAGACUUGAAUACGGGAGAGGAAAGCGGAAUUCCUGGUGUAGAGGUGAAAUUCGUAGAUAUCAGGAGGAACACCGAUGGCGAAGGCAGCUUACUAAGUUGUGACUGACGCUGAAGCACGAAAGCAUGGGGAUCAAACAGGAUUAGAUACCCUGGUAGUCG
rnacentral:rRNA from 1 species